AGGUGUGAUCAUACCAGUGUUAAUGCACCGGAUCCCAUCGGAACUCCGCAGUUAAGCGGGCUUGGGAUAGAUUAGUACUGGGAUGGUUGACCUCUCGAGAAGUCUUAGUGUUGCACCCU
rfam:Picea glauca, whole genome shotgun sequence.